UAAGUGUGAAUAUGACUGGAGAUCAGUGGUGAAGUCCUGCAUUCGUGACUAAAAGUGCACUUAAAUAAUAGAACAUGAAUUAUGAGUGGAGGACAUCUUGAAUUGAUCAGAGUCUUGAGAGCCCAGGAGCUCAUCCAACAUCACAUUAGCUGGCCACCACAGGACGAGACUCCAACUGCACUAAUGGGCUGUGUGCCCCGGCCAGCCCUGAGGCCGUCAAGGCCGCCUUUACCAUCCAGAAGGAGUACAGGAAGUACCAGCAGAAGAAGAAGGACACCGUCUAAAGAAGGAAGGACCAGCCAAAGAAGAAGGGCACCAUCUAGAGGAGGGGAGGAGCACCUCCCCCUCAGCUCUUUAUAGCUCUUCAACUCUCUCGCUUUCUCUUUUUUUCGAUUUUUUGCACUCUCAGUCAUUACUCUCUCUCCCUCUCUCUCACACACACACACACACACACACACAGACAUGAUCACUCAUUCUCUCUGAAACAUUGUAAAUACUAUGGAAAAGUACACCAUCACACACUCUCUCACACAGUCAUGGGCGGAUCUACACACACACACCGAUCACAAACACACACACACACACACACACACACACACACACACACACACAAAAACAUACAUACGCACACACUCUCACACAUACACACACACACACACACACACACACACACACACACACAAACAUACAUACGCACACACUCUCACACACACACACACACACACACACACACACACACACACAAAAACAUACAUACGCACACACUCUCACACAUACACACACACUCUCACACAUACACACACACACACACACACACACACACACACACACACACACCUUGCCUCCACACUAUGCACUGGCACAUACCUGUGGAAGUGUAGAUCUGUCUAAAAUAUGUGUAACAUACCACACCACUCGCAAUAAGGUCACUUAGCUGUCAAUGAGUAUUUUAAAAUAUCACAAAUGUUUGUGUCAUAUCAUUAUAUUUAUAUUAAUAACAGGGUUUUAUUAUUUUUUGUUUUGUUUUAUUGCUUUGUUUUUCUUUGUUCAAAUCAGCAUGAUUGAGUGUGGAUGAAAGUGAAUAGGAAUGUUGUGAAAGAAUAGAAAUCAGAGCCAGAACAAAAUGUUCUAGACGGAAUGUUCUAGACGGAAAUGUUCUAGACAGAAUGUUCUGGAGAGAAUGUUCUAGACAGAAUGCCUGAACCAGAAUCACCGGCAUUAUCCGAAUCAGCAAACCUACUCAGGCAAGCCCCUACUGUUCUAUUCCAAUAAUGAGAAUCAAGACCCCAAAACGCCUAACUGAUCCCACAUCCAUUUAGGCUUCUCCAGAAGUGAUAUAGCAUGCCUGCCCCCAUGUGGUCAGUUAGGGUAAUGACAACUCCAAAAUCCUGAUAGCUGGUAGUGUGCUCCAUAUUCCAACAGCAAAGGAGUGAAUCAGUUGAUGGUCAAUGGGAUGGUAAUAUGUGAUGGGUCACGAUAUUAAAGUGAGGGUGUAAUACAACACAUCAAACAAUUAAAGAUUUUCUUUUCUUUACUUAUGUUUUAUAUUUUUGUGUUCCUUCACAUGUGUAGUGUGUGUGUGUGUGUGGGCAUUGUUACAGGACUAAGCUUCUGACAAAAGGAUACACAACAGAUGAAAGAAAAGGACACAAGUUCAUAGAAAGAUAGCUUUAUUGCACAAGUUGUUGGAGUACUCUUUUUUCUGUUUUUGUGUUGUUUUCAUAGAAAAAAACUGUAUAGUUUAACACAAGCAAUUGCAAAUUGAAGCAACUUUUCCAUAAAAGUUUAGGAAUCCCCCUCAGCAUGUUUCAACUUUUUUUUCCACGUUUAGUCCUUUGAAUCUCUUGUCUCCAUUUUACUUUUAAUAACCAGCAAAAUAUUCAGAGCAUGCAAUGCCAUUUUUCUUCAAUAUAAACCGAAAAGUAAAAAUGAAACCAAAAUAUAAACAAAUCAAACAAUCAACAGAAAUUAAUAAAAGUCAACAAAAUUCAUUUUAAAAAUUAGGGGAAAAAAGUCAGACUUUUUCUAUUCUGGGUUUUUUUGUGCCCCAUUCGAAAAUCAGUGUAAGGUAUAUAUAUAUUUUUUUGUCUUUUUUUAUUUGAAUCGCCUCACAUUUAAAGUUAUAACUUUCAUGAAACUUUAAAUUGUGCCCUGGUUUCAUCUGCAGAGUUUGAAAAUAGUAGUUAUUUAUACAAAACACUUUCUUAUAUACAAGAGUAUUUCUUUGUAGAUUAGAAAUUAUGCUGACACGGAGACUCUACGGGUAAAGAGGAAGGGGGGGUGGGGGGGUUUGAUUGGUUAAGGGACAAAAGGGGGCGGGGGUGGAGAAACAGGGAGGUUGGGCAUAGAGUUUGAUUUCCUGACUCCGUCCAAUAAGCUUGUGGCUUCUCCUGUGAUUGGCUGGAGCUAGGGAGUCCCUGAUUUUGGAUUGGCUAAACAGGCCUGCCCCCAUUUGCUUCACGACACAUCUCUGUUUUUCUUCCUCCAGAACGAAACAUUAUUAAAUCAUCCGAAGGAACGUUUCAAAUAAAAAAAGCAAUGGGGAGAGGAUAUCUAUCACCGACAAACAAACAGCCAAAACAAAAUGAACAAAUUCAAAUGUGUUUGCUCAAGCCACAGGCAACUCACUGAAGUAGAGACAAGGCCCUGACCGCAGGGAAUUCUGGGAUCUGGCCUGCAGCCAGCCGCCCUCUGGGCUAAAGUGUGUGGGGUGGGCAUCAUAUGCCCUAUCGGUUAUCGUUACCAACAAUCCAACCUGAACAGGUAAACACAUAAACACACACGCACCUACACAUGCAUACUGUAUUUCCACAUUUAGGUUCCAGUCACUGUAAGUUUGUGACGUGACAGCGUUUAUGUGUAUGUGGUAAUGGCUGUCAUAGACA
ensembl:lncRNA